rnacentral:rRNA from 1 species
GAUGAACGCUGGCGGCGUGCCUAAUACAUGCAAGUCGAGCGAACAGACGAGGAGCUUGCUCCUCUGACGUUAGCGGCGGACGGGUGAGUAAAACGUGGAUAACCUACCUAUAAGACUGGGAUAACUUCGGGAAACCGGAGCUAAUACCGGAUAAUAUAUUGAACCGCAUGGUUCAAUAGUGAAAGACGGUUUUGCUGUCACUUAUAGAUGGAUCCGCGCCGCAUUAGCUAGUUGGUAAGGUAACGGCUUACCAAGGCAACGAUGCGUAGCCGACCUGAGAGGGUGAUCGGCCACACUGGAACUGAGACACGGUCCAGACUCCUCCGGGAGGCAGCAGUAGGGAAUCUUCCGCAAUGGGCGAAAGCCUGACGGAGCAACGCCGCGUGAGUGAUGAAGGUCUUCGGAUCGUAAAACUCUGUUAUUAGGGAAGAACAAAUGUGUAAGUAACUAUGCACGUCUUGACGGUACCUAAUCAGAAAGCCACGGCUAACUACGUG